GGAGAGGUGGCUGAGUGGUCGAAAGCGGCGGUCUCGAAAACCGUUGUACCUUCGGGUACCUAGGGUUCGAAUCCCUACCUCUCCG
rnacentral:tRNA from 1 species